rnacentral:rRNA from 1 species
UACGUAGGGUGCGAGCGUUAAUCGGAAUUACUGGGCGUAAAGAGCGCGCAGGCGGUCGAUCAAGUCGAGUGUGAAAGCCCCCGGCUCAACUGGGGAGGGUCAUUCGAUACUGAUCGACUCGAAGGCAGGAGAGGGUAGUGGAAUUCCCGGUGUAGUGGUGAAAUGCGUAGAUAUCGGGAGGAACACCAGUGGCGAAGGCGACUACCUGGCCUGUUAUUGACGCUGAGGCGCGAAAGCUAGGGGAGCAAACGGG